rnacentral:rRNA from 1 species
UACGUAGGGUGCGAGCGUUAAUCGGAAUUACUGGGCGUAAAGCGUGCGCAGGCGGCGCGUUAAGACAGGUGUGAAAGCCCCGAGCUUAACUUGGGAAUUGCGCUUGUGACUGGCGGGCUGGAGUGUGGCAGAGGGAGGUGGAAUUCCUGGUGUAGCGGUGAAAUGCGCAGAUAUCAGGAGGAACACCAAUGGCGAAGGCAGCUCGCUGGAACGGUACUGACGCUGUGGCGCGAAAGCUAGGGGAGCGAACAGG